rnacentral:rRNA from 1 species
UACGUAGGGUGCAAGCGUUGUCCGGAAUUAUUGGGCGUAAAGCGCUCGUAGGCGGUUCGUCGCGUCGGCUGUGAAAACCCGAGGCUCAACCUCGGGCCUGCAGUCGAUACGGGCGGACUGGAGUUCGGCAGGGGAGACUGGAAUUCCUGGUGUAGCGGUGAAAUGCGCAGAUAUCAGGAGGAACACCGGUGGCGAAGGCGACACGCUGGGCCGUACCUGACACUGAUGCGCGACAGCAUGGGGAGCAAACAGG